rnacentral:rRNA from 1 species
GCUUACGGCCAUAUCAGCCUGGGUACGCCCCGAUCUCGUCUGAUCUCGGAAGCUAAGCAGAGUCGGGCCUGGUUAGUACUUGGAUGGGGAGACUGCCUGGGAAUACCAGGUGCUGUAAGCA